GCAACCAGAAAUAACUAAUGUAACCAGAAAUAUAUCCUACAAUAUUUCCUUAUAGGUUGCAUACAGGAUAAUCUUCAAAGAAGUAGAAUGACUGGGUCAGAGUUGUAAUGAGAAGACUGUAACCUCCACGAUGGCAGGGGUGUCCCCAAAAUCUAGAGCCCAGAGCCUGCUACUUGGGGAGAAAACUAUGAAGAAAUAAGAACUCCAGAAGACAAUCAGAUGGAAAGUUCUUCUUCCUGUGGAAAGAUCGUGUCUUCUCCUUCUUUGCUGUUUCUACAACAUUG
rnacentral:lncRNA from 1 species